GGGGCAGAGAAGCUCUGGGAUAGAGCUGAAUGCUCUGGGGCAUGGGGUUCCCCCUGUCUGGGUUGGGGCAGGGAGCAUGGGAGCAGCUUAAGAGCCAUCUUAAAUUAAUUAUGGACAUUGAAACCCUUCACUUUUAAACAUAACCCCGAUUAUCACAGCUUAAAAAAUUAGCAGUAAAACCUGAAGAGCACUCCUACCUGGUUCUUUUGGUUAAGGCCUGGCAGGAAGCAGGUGGUGUGCUGGAGCCAGGCCAUCAGGGAGAGAAGAGUAAAGGACAAUUGACAAGGAUGGACAAUUAGGGAAAUAGUUGUCACCAGCUAUGGGCUUGCAGGGCAAGAGAAAAAGUUGGCUGGAAUUCAGAGAAGCAGCUGGAUGGAGCCUGCCAGCCGCCUGCCUGGAGCAGUGGCUUUUGGUGGAGGCACAAAAUCCACCUGAGCACCUGCGAGUGCAAGAGAAAUAAACCCCCAUCCUCUCCGUCUCCCAGGGGCUGCCCUCCUCCAGGUGCACCCAUCAGCCAACCCACUGGAAACAAGGCUUCUGCUAACUAAGGUUGAACAAUGGUGCCAACAUCUCAGUGGCUUCCAGCAGCAUCUGUUCAUUCUUUCCCUGCUUCCAUGUUGACUGUGGAUUGGGCAGUCCUCUUGUCUGGGACACACCAAGACCCACACCUCGGGUCUUAAAGCUUCUGUUAGGAAGUGGUGCCCAUCAAUUACACUCAUAUCCCACUGGCCAAAGCAACACACACAACCCAGCCAGCUGUCAG
rnacentral:lncRNA from 1 species